rfam:Fomitopsis pinicola FP-58527 SS1 unplaced genomic scaffold FOMPIscaffold_27, whole genome shotgun sequence.
GGCAAGAUGGCCGAGCGGUCUAAGGCGCUGGAAUCAGGCGGUUCUUGAUCACCAACCGCGGGGUGCUUUCUUCAUCGAAUCCAUUCCGCGGCCUGUGCAUAUCCAGUCCAGAAAUGGGCGCGAGUUCGAAUCUCGCUCUUGUCA